GACGAACGCUGGCGGCGUGCUUAACACAUGCAAGUCGAACGGAAAGGCCCUGCUUUUGUGGGGUGCUCGAGUGGCGAACGGGUGAGUAACACGUGAGUAACCUGCCCUUGACUUUGGGAUAACUUCAGGAAACUGGGGCUAAUACCGGAUAGGAGCUCCUGCUGCAUGGGGGGGGUUGGAAAGUUUCGGCGGUUGGGGAUGGACUCGCGGCUUAUCAGCUUGUUGGUGGGGUAGUGGCUUACCAAGGCUUUGACGGGUAGCCGGCCUGAGAGGGUGACCGGCCACAUUGGGACUGAGAUACGGCCCAGACUCCUACGGGAGGCAGCAGUGGGGAAUAUUGCACAAUGGGCGGAAGCCUGAUGCAGCAACGCCGCGUGCGGGAUGACGGCCUUCGGGUUGUAAACCGCUUUCGCCUGUGACGAAGCGUGGGUGACGGUAAUGGGUAAAGAAGCACCGGCUAACUACGUG
rnacentral:rRNA from 1 species